GUUCACUUCAGCAGCACAUACUAAAAUUGGAAAGAUAUGGAGAAAAAAUUAGUGAGGCCCCUGCACAAGGAUGACAUGCCAAUUUAUGAAGCAUUUCAUAUGUUU
rnacentral:snRNA from 1 species